rnacentral:misc_RNA from 1 species
GAUCAUUACCGAGUUUACAACUCCCAAACCCCUGUGAACAUACCAAUUGUUGCCUCGGCGGAUCAGCCCGCUCCCGGUAAAACGGGACGGCCCGCCAGAGGACCCCUAAACUCUGUUUCUAUAUGUAACUUCUGAGUAAAACCAUAAAUAAAUCAAAACUUUCAACAACGGAUCUCUUGGUUCUGGCAUCGAUGAAGAACGCAGCAAAAUGCGAUAAGUAAUGUGAAUUGCAGAAUUCAGUGAAUCAUCGAAUCUUUGAACGCACAUUGCGCCCGCCAGUAUUCUGGCGGGCAUGCCUGUUCGAGCGUCAUUUCAACCCUCAAGCCCUCGGGUUUGGUGUUGGGGAUCGGCGAGCCCUUGCGGCAAGCCGGCCCCGAAAUCUAGUGGCGGUCUCGCUGCAGCUUCCAUUGCGUAGUAGUAAAACCCUCGCAACUGGUACGCGGCGCGGCCAAGCCGUUAAACCCCCAACUUCUGAAUGUGAC